GUCGAACGCUGGCGGCGUGCCUAAUACAUGCAAGUCGAACGCAGUGGGGACGAGUGAGUAACACGUGGGUAACCUCCCAUCAGAGGGGAUAACACUUGGAAACAGGUGAUAAACCGAUACUGAUGGAUGGACCCGCGGUGCAUUAGCUAGUUGGUGAGGUAACGGCUCACCAAGGCCACGAUGCAUAGCCGACCUUAGAGGGUGAUCGGCCACACUGGGACUGGGACACGGUCCAGACUACAACGGGAGGCAGCAGCAGUGAAUCUUCGGCAAGGGACGACAGUCUGCCCGAGCAACGCCGCGGUAAUUC
rnacentral:rRNA from 1 species